rnacentral:rRNA from 1 species
AGUACGAACGCAAGUUUGAAACUCAAAGGAAUUGACGGGGGCCCGCACAAGCGGUGGAUUAUGUGGUUUAAUUCGAUGAUACGCGAGGAACCUUACCAAGACUUAAAUGGGAAUUGAUCGGUUUAGAAAUAGACCUUCCUUCGGGCAAUUUUCAAGGUGCUGCAUGGUUGUCGUCAGCUCGUGCCGUGAGGUGUUAGGUUAAGUCCUGCAACGAGCGCAACCCCUGUCACUAGUUGCCAUCAUUCAGUUGGGGACUCUAGUGAAACUGCCUACGCAAGUAGAGAGGAAGGUGGGGAUGACGUCAAAUCAUCACGGCCCUUACGUCUUGGGCCACACACGUAAUACAAUGGCCGGUACAGAGGGCAGCUACACAGCGAUGUGAUGCAAAUCUCGAAAGCCGGUCUCAGUUCGGAUUGGAGUCUGCAACUCGACUCUAUGAAGCUGGAAUCGCUAGUAAUCGCGCAUCAGCCAUGGCGCGGUGAAUACGUUCCCGGGCCUUGUACACACCGCCCGUCAAGCCAUGGAAGUCUGGGGUACCUGAAGUCGGUGACCGUAACAGGAGCUGCCUAGGGUAAAACAGGUAACUAGGGCU